UACGGAGGAUGCGAGCGUUAUCCGGAUUUAUUGGGUUUAAAGGGUGCGUAGGCGGCUUUUUAAGUCAGCGGUGAAAUUUUGCAGCUUAACUGUAACAGUGCCGUUGAUACUGGGGAGCUAGGAUUUGGUUGCUGUGGGUGGAAUGUGUGGUGUAGCGGUGAAAUGCGUAGAUAUCACGAGGAACUCCGAUUGCGCAGGCAGCUUACUAAACUACUACUGACGCUCAGGCACGAAGGCGUGGGGAUCAAACAGGAUUAGAUACCCCGGUA
rnacentral:rRNA from 1 species